rnacentral:lncRNA from 1 species
UAGGGACACUGAAGUAAUAGUGCAGGUGCUUGUUAGAGAACAAGGGUACUGAGCGUGACUAAUACAAGAAGUCACUUGGAUGUCUAUCCACUCGUCAGUGACUUGCUUGAUGUUGCAGUAGUGUGACUGGUCCUUUGACCUGCGGUGCUUCGGCUACUCACAGUGAGGUUAUUGUAGUUUGAUUGCACACAUACAUGGUCUCUAGCCAUAUGGGUCCAUGCAGUGUAGAUU